GCUCUCACUUCGGCAGCACAUUUACUAAAAUUGGAACAGAGAAGAUUAGCGUGGCCCCUGCGGAGGAUGACACGCAGAUUCGCGAAGCAUCCCCUGUUUUA
ensembl:snRNA U6 U6 spliceosomal RNA